CCUACGGGAGGCAGCAGCGGGGAAUAUUGGACAAUGGGGGCAACCCUGAUCCAGCCAUGCCGCGUGUGUGAAGAAGGCCCUCGGGUUGUAAAGCACUUUCAGUGAGGAAGAACGCCUGGUGGUUAAUACCCAUCAGGAAAGACAUCACUCACAGAAGAAGCACCGGCUAACUCCGUGCCAGCAGCCGCGGUAAUACGGAGGGUGCGAGCGUUAAUCGGAAUUACUGGGCGUAAAGCGCGCGUAGGUGGCUUGAUAAGCCGGUUGUGAAAGCCCCGGGCUCAACCUGGGAACGGCAUCCGGAACUGUCAAGCUAGAGUGCAGGAGAGGAAGGUAGAAUUCCCGGUGUAGCGGUGAAAUGCGUAGAGAUCGGGAGGAAUACCAGUGGCGAAGGCGGCCUUCUGGACUGACACUGACACUGAGGUGCGAAAGCGUGGGUAGCAAACAGGAUUAGAUACCCUUGUAGUC
rnacentral:rRNA from 1 species